rnacentral:rRNA from 1 species
AUGCCCCGUGCCGCCGUGCCCCGUGCUGCUGUGCGGCAGGCCGCCAACCCCGACCCUCCUGCUCGUUUGAUCGUCUGUGGCACAUCCAUUUGCCGCCGGUGUAGCAGCUGGCUGCUGCUGUUCAUCACCACCACCGCACCACUCAUCCUCUUCCACGCCGGUCACCAGUUCGCCGCCUUCUGUCGUCUUCUGGUGCUCAACCUCUCAACUGAAGGUGAGUAA